GUUAUGUUAGGCGUUAGUAUGACUUUAUUAUUGUCUUUAUUUAAAGAUUAUGUAUGAUCUCAGGAGAUGUGUAUGCGUUCAAGUUGACAAGGGGUGGACUUGUGAUGGUUAAUACUGAGUGUCAACUGAUUGAAAGAUAUAAAACAUUGUUCCUGGGUGUGUCUGUGAGGGUGUUGCCAAAGGAGAUUAACAUUUGAGUCAGUGGGCUGGUAAAGGCAGACCCACCCCUAAUCUGGGUGAGCACAAUCUAAUCAGCUGCCAGUGCAGCUAGAAUAAAAGCAGGGAGAAAAAUGUGAAAAGAGAGACUGGCCUAGCCUCCCAGCCUGCAUCUUUCUCCCACGGUGGUGAUAGAUGUUUCUUCCCCAUGAAUAUCAGAAUCCAAGUUCUUCAGUUUUGGACUGGCUCUCCUUGCUCCUCAGCCUGCAGAUGGCCUAUUGCGGGACCUUGUGAUCAGGUAUUCAUCAACACCACAGAUACCAGUGGCUGUGAUAAAGAGACCUCCGUCUUUCCCCAUUAAAGCCUUUGCCCUAUGUGGCCCACUCAUCUUUGGCAGAAGUUCUGAUCAUAAAGACCGAGACCUGGCAUGCUUUGAGCGCUCAGUGAUUAUUUGCUCAUAGACUGAUAACUUUCUCCCUUCCGAGUCAGCACCCUCUACCACUGGUUGCAUCUCUCCUGCCAAAUGAGAUUACCUGAAGAGUUUAUAAUUAACCCUGUCAUACCAUGGGAGAGACUCAGGUUGUCUAGAUGCCUCGUGUCAAUCUUUGCUAGGGCACAAACUCCAUGAACAUCGCUUUCAUAUAGUUAUCCUUCAAAUUCACAAUUUAGAAACAUUUCUGCAACACUCUGGGUGCCUUGGUGGUUGGAUACCAUUUGGGAAAUCAUUUAUCCUUUGGAGAUGUAAAUAAUUGGCAGGACUCGGCUGCAGUGUUCUCAUCAGACAUUAGAGUGUUGCCAGUAAUCAAACCUAUUGCAUGUCAGCUGCUUUCCAGCAUCAUUCUUUUCUAUCUUACAGCAUGACACUUUCUGGAUUGCAGUGAAAUAAAGAAACAGCAACAUGCAUGCUUGCUUGAAGGAAGUGUGAUGAGGCAUUCCUGAUUUGGCAGGGGCAAUUCAUGAACACGCUUUAGAAAUAAGGGAUUUUAUUGGAAAGCUAUGAGGCAACAGUGCAUCCUAGUGGAUACAGUUUUGCUCUAAAAAUAAAAAAUACAUUUUAUUUCCCUACCUAGAUGGCUAACAUCAUGAGAAAUUUUGAAAAUGGCAUUUUUAGUCCAUGGUUUCUGGUUUUGCCUGAAGGGUUCAAAUCCUCCUCUCAAAAUAAAUCAAAGCUAUUAUGUGAGAUUCUCUUCUAAUAAUUUGAUUUUGUGUCAUAUAAGCCUCCAGUUUAAAUAAAUUUAUUUUAAAGGAAUAAGCUGUGUUUUUAGAAUUGAAAUAUAUGAUAAUACUUGGAAAAGUUAGAGAAUAUUAUCUUGGUAUGAAACCAAAGUGUUGCUUUUCUAACUUAGUAUUUUUAUAAAGCUCUGUGUAGGUUUGGAGAAGAGGAGGAGAGAAGAGAAGAGAAAAUUUGAAAGGUGAAGUUUAUUAGUGGUUACACUUCAUCUUUUUGCAUGAAUAUUCAUGUACUCAUUUCAAAAGUUUGUUGAAAUUCUAAGAAGCUUAAAAUUAACCACUAUGUCUAAAAUGAUACCCUCGGCUACAAGUUAUAGAAAAACCUAAUUUGUACAUCUUAUAUAGUAGAAAAUACAUUAUCCCACAUAACAGAAGGUAUUGGGUAGGUGGUUAAACGGUUGGUUAAUUCUUUGGGUCAGUGAUAUCAGUUAUCCUUCUCAACUUCUUUGUGAUCUUCUUUGUGAUUCUCUCAUCUUUUACCUCAUACCUUAAAGGUGGCUGCCAGAGAUCCAAGCAUCAUAUUAUCAUACAAAAAUGUCCAAAGGCAGGAUGUGGUAUGUCCUUUUUAAGAGUGAGGGCAAUUCCAGAAGCCUCUCCAGGAUAAUUUCCAUGUGAGUCAUUUGUCAGCAUUAUACCUGCUGUUUAGUCAUUAGCAAAAUAAAUAACAUUACUAUGCUUACCUUUAUGCUAAUCAACAUUUACCUAGCUGCAACUGGGGAGAGCUUCAUGAAGCUAUAGGUCCGAUUCCUAAAGACCAUUACUGUAACGGUAAUAAGAAAGAGAGAAGGAAUAGCCACUGAAAAGGCAACCAAGAGUGACCACUACAAAUAUUUGUCUUUCCUCACCUAUGGUCACAGUUAAAUUUUGCUGGAUAACAAACCACUUCAAAACUUACAGCUUCAAACAAGACCAUUUGUUUAUCCCCUAAUUCUGUGUUCAGUCAUAUGGGCUGGGCUCAAGUGGAUCAUUUUUCUGCUCAUCUUGGCUAUUCUGACACAUGCAUCUUUAAUAAUCUACCAGGUGAUCUAGGAGCUGUUUGAUCUAGGAGAGGUCUUUAGCAUUAGUAAUUUUGCUGUAUUUCAUAGGCCCUUUUAUCCUGAAGCAGGGUAGCUUGGACUUUUACACAAGGUGAUAGAAAGAUCCCCAGGGCCACUGAAAAACAAUCCCCAAGUAUAAGUGCUUUUAAGAACUUUGUUUGUAUCAUGUUUAUGAAUGUCUCCUUGGCCAAAUAAAGUCACAUGUCCAAUCCUGAUUCCAGGGGUGUAAAAUAAAAAGGCAUGCACUGUCACAUUGCAAAGGGGUAGAUGCAAGAGAGAAAGAAUGAAUGGCCAGUUUUAACAUCUCCCAUAUAGGUUUACCAUAAGUUGCUGUGCUGAACUGCUUUCUACAUUUUCUACAACAUGUGAACAAUGGCAAAAAUCAACAGAAUAAUAACAGUUACAUAUUGCUUUUUAUGUACCAUACAUUAUUCUAAAUCCUUGCACAUUAAAUUAAUGAUUACAUUAUCAUAACACUUGGAGUCUGUAGUGGAAAGCAUCAUGAUAUAGAAGAAAGAAUAUGAGCUUUCAUGUCAGAAAGAUCUAUGUUUAGUUUUGGCACUUAGGAUUUACUAACAAUAUGUAUAUGACCUUGGAAAACUUAUUUAUUUUCUCAACAAAUAAUCUAUAAAAUGGGUGUAUGUCAGUUUGGGUCUUCCAAGAAGCAGAUGCCAAGACAGAACUAAAUAUGCAAAAGGCUUAUGAAGAAAAACACCUUUUGGUGGGGUGCAGUGGCUCAGGCCUGUAAUCCCAACACUUUGGGAGGCCGAGAGAGGCAGAACAUCUGCGGUCAGGAGUUCAAGGCCAGCCUGGCCAACAUGAUGAAACCUCGUCUCUACCAAAAAUACAAAAAUAAGCAGCAUGUGGUGUCAUGUGCCUGUAGUCCCAGCUACUAUGGAGGCUGAGGCAGGAGAAUCACUUGAACCCAGGAGACAGAGGUUGCAGUGAGGCAAGAUCACACCAAUGCACUCCAGCCUGGGUGACGGAGAAGAAAGGAAGGAAGGAAGGAAGGAAGGAAGGAAGGAAGGAAGGAAGGAAGGGAGGGAAAGGAAAGGGAAAGAAAGAAUAAAAAAGAAAGAAAGAAAGAAAGAAGGAAGGAAGGAAGGAAAGAAAGAAGAAAAGAAAAGGAAGAAAAAGACACCUGUGAAAGAUAAAGGGAGACAGAGCAAAAGUAAGUAGAAACUUCAGACUGCAAUAGAGGUCUGGCAUCUGUGAAAGAAGAAACACAAAGAAGAAUUGGAUAUGAAGAGCUUAGACCACAGCACAAUACUAAAGAAAAAAAAAAAGUCUUAUGGCUGAUGGGGAAUCCCUGAGCCAAACUUGUCCAGCAGGAACCAGCCAAUUCCAGUGUCCCUGCUAGACUUAGUCUGUGGCUGGGAGCAAGCAGCCAUAUCUUGCAGGGGAAAGAUGGUCUGAUAUGAACAAAGGAGUGAAUUCAAAGGAGUGGCAACUAGAAGUUGUCAAUCAACAAUGCUACCUGCAGCUGGUUCUCUGGAAGGGCAAUCUGAGCAGUGCAUGUCCAGGGCUGCCACAGAGUAUCAGAAAGCCACCCUUUGGUUUAUUGUAUUUAAUGAGGUAACAUGUAAACAGUCUGCCAUAUUGCCUGACACAUGGUAGAAAUUACAUGAUACUUUCAUGUUAACUGCUGGAAGUAUCAAUAGCCUCAAGUUUCAGUCCUCUCACUCAAAGACCAAGCUAAAAGCUGAAAGCAAAGUAGGAGUUUAGUAAAUUCUUAUUAUCCCACAUUCACCAGCUACAAUGAACAUCGAUUACACUGAUUAUCAAGCCCAACUUUAUGUCUGAGAACAGUUUCCACUCUAGUUUGUGACUGGUAUUCUUCAUACCGUGUUGGUACAUACGAAGCAGCCAUGUCUAUAUUAAACAUCUCUAUCAUACUAAAUGCAGUCUACUGACUUGGGAUUGGGCAGCUAACCCAAAAUGAGCUCUUUAAAUCUCUUCCCUGGAAACUGAAAGAUGGAAAGAGUCAAUCCGGUUGUCCUCCAGGUGGGUGGGCCAGUAAUAGAAAAACUCAGGAUGUUAUAGAAGCUACAUUUCCAACAUGUGGUCUCUGAAGAAGAAUAUUCUUGUUGAACAUUCCAGAACAUUCAACCAGGAUGAAAAAUGAGAUAGAUUCAAGGAAACGAACAGACAUGAAAGGCAGAAUGAGUGUUCCUUUCCCAUUUGAUUCUUUCAGUUUAUUUUGAAGUUCCCAAUGCAUUCCUAUCUUUUAUGUGACACAUAAAGCAUAUAUCAUAUUUCCCCCUACUUUCUUUAAGUUGGUUCAAGUGGGUUUGGUUAUAUUAAAGUGCCCUCACUGAAGCAUCAAUAUAUCUGGGAUGUGGUCCAGUUGUAAUAAAGCAUCAAACUAGUUUCUUCGUUAAUAUGUUAUUUGGAAGUGACACAACAAAAACAGCUGAGAAAUAAUAAAAAUAUAAAGAAGCUAUCUCUGUAGCAAUCCUGUCUUUGAACAAAUGGAAACUUCUAGACAUGUCUCCUUGGUGACCUCAAAUUUAGAACAGGAAUAUUAAAUACAUAAAUUUAAAGCACAUUGAAAAAAUAUUUGAACUAUAAGAAGAAAACAAAUUCUUGAAAGAGC
rnacentral:lncRNA from 1 species